ACCACACAGGAGGAUAGCCUUGGGAAACUGAGAGUAACCCUCCAUAGUCUUGAGUUGCCGCAUGGUAGCUUAAGUAAAACUUCGGUGGUGUGGGAUAGUCGUGCGUCCGAUUAGGUAGUUGGUAGUGUAAUGGACUACCAAGCCGACGAUCGGUAGCUGGUCUGAGAGGAUGAUCAGCCACACGGGCACUGAGACACGGGCCCGACUCCUACGGGAGGCAGCAGUAAGGAAUAUUGGACAAUGGACGGAAGUCUGAUCCAGCCAUCCCGCGUGGAGGAAUAAGGCCCUAUGGGUUGUAAACUCCUUUAGCAGGGGAAUAAAAGGUCAUUUAUGAUCAAUUGAAGGUACCCUGAGAAUAAGCACCGGCUAACUCCGUG
rnacentral:rRNA from 1 species